UCUUCGAAUGUCAGCGGUUCCAAAACAAAGAGCUCAAAUAACAGAAUCACCCUCAGUCAACCCACCUCUGGCUCCACACUCUCUUCAGGAGCUACACCCUCAGCAUCUUGCCAGGUGCUCCUGAAGGCCACUCAGCACGUCCCUCCUGGUCCCCAGGAGGAAGGCAGGCUGGCUCAUCCCCACCUGUCCCAACACAGGGCUCCCACGUCCCUCCCCGCUCGCCGUGUGCAAGGGAACUCCAGCCUCCUGCUGGUGCUUGACCUCGAGAGCCCACUUCCAGCUGCAGCUGGCGGCCCUGUGUCUGCACCUGGUUCCUACUCCUGGAAGGAACCUGAAGAGCAGAGGCCCCGGGUCUCACCGUUGUUGGAUAAAGAGGAAGUCGGUGGCGACUUUUCUGUCUGCAUGUUCUGAUUUGCCAUGAGAAAGACUUCUCCCGGCCAUUUAAAAACCAUCCAAACUGUCUCUAAAUAGCGUAGGAAGUGAUCAAAGGUGUUUUCAUGUAAUCUGGACCCGCAGCCAUCUCAACAGUCAGUCUGAUGCUUGGUGACUUUCAGAGGAAAUGAGUACAACCCAGUAAUGCGGAUACAGCUGGAAUGCACUUAUAAUUUUUGUGAGUUGAUAUUCCCUGGUAGCUCAGCUGCUAAAUAAUCUGCUUGCAAUGCAGGAGACCCCGGUUCAAUUCCUGGGUUGGGAAGAUCCCCUGGAGAAGGGAUGGGCUACCCGCUCCAGUAUUCUUGCAUGGAGAAUCCGCAUGGAUAGAGGAGCCUGGCGGGCUACAGUCCAUGGGAUGCAAAGAGUUGGAUACAACUGAGCGACUAAGCACGUGUCCACGUACACACCUAGCUUAUUCCUGGGGUGGGAUCAAAUUAGAGAAAACCUGGAUGGAAAAAGUUAGUGGGUCAAACAUUUGCAGGCUUACCACGUACCUGACACAUCCUUAGAGUGCUUGUGAAAUACCGUGGCUUUAUCAAAGCAAUAAACAAAUCCCCGGUGAUUUUUCCUGCA
rnacentral:lncRNA from 1 species